AAUAAGGUAGUUUUCGUUUUUCCGUAUCAAACGUUUGAUUAUUUAUUUUAUUUAAAAAAAUUUGUGAUUAAUAUUUUUGUUUUUAUCAGAUGAUAAAUCAUGAAUAGUACUUUAUGCGUGACUAAUUUUUUAAGUAUUUAUAUAAAUUUUUUAAAUAAGACGAAUGGUUAAACGUUGGCCACGAAAAAACA
rnacentral:pre_miRNA from 1 species